CAUCGCGGAAAGAGAUAAACAUAAGGGUAAUAAUAGGUGUUUAAAAGGUUAAAGAGGUUAUUUUUUAAAAGUUAUACCUCACAAUUCAUACACGAAAUAAUCGGGCAGUAACCAUCCAUCUCUGGUGUCAAUACUCGCUUACAUCUGAACUCCACUGUGUUUUCAGUAAUUGAGGCCACUAUUCUUCCACUCACCAUGUUUUGAUACCCCCU
rnacentral:lncRNA from 1 species